rnacentral:rRNA from 1 species
GACAGAGGAUGCAAGCGUUAUCCGGAAUGAUUGGGCGUAAAGCGUCUGUAGGUGGCUUUUUAAGUCCGCCGUCAAAUCCCAGGGCUCAACCCUGGACAGGCGGUGGAAACUACCAAGCUGGAGUACGGUAGGGGUAGAGGGAAUUUCCAGUGGAGCGGUGAAAUGCGUAGAUAUUGGAAAGACCACCGAUGGCGAAGGCACUUUACUGGGCUAUUACUAACACUGAGAGACGAAAGCUAGGGUAGCAAAUGGG